CACGGCGAGAGGACAACCGGCAGCCGGCACGGGACGUCUCCUGGGUCCGGCCCUGUGCCCCGCUUCUCUCGGCCGAUUGAAUCAGCAUCCUCACUGUAACGCACCGAACGUCAAGUGCGGGCUGGCCUGGCCUCGUGUGACCUGCCGGGAGGACCAUGGGAACGCCACGGGGCGAACACAGACAAGACGGACGGCCGGCCCGCAGGAGAGAAGGCCCAGGGAAGGGGUGGUGUCACCCCAGCACGGGCGGCUGCCGAUCUACCUCCCUUCCCUCGGCCUAUUAUGUUUUGAAGUGCCUGCUCCGCACAGCGACCGGGACAGGAGGGAAAGACCCACGAAAACCAAGUAAAGAACUAAAUGAACAAAGUAGCCGCAGACGAUGACCCAGCCCUGAGGAAAGUGAACACACAAUGGGGUACAGAAAGGCUGGGCCGGGGAAGAUUAACAAAAAUAAAUUUUAAAACUUUAAAACACAUAAAAAUGACUGUAGGCAGGAGCCUAAACUUCUCGGGGAGGAAGUUUCCUUAGGCCCCCAAGGCUUAGGGGAGUUCAGGAAACCAUCCAGGAGCUGG